CCUGCUGAUGGCCCAUUUCUAGCCCAGUAAUAAGCACUGUCGUCCAAGUCCAUUGGCAAUUCAGCUGAAUUAAAUUCCUCGUUGGCGUCCGCACUUCCGGAAACUUCACCUCCAGGCUCUCUCUCUCUCUCUCUCUCUAUAUAUAUAUAUAUAUAUAUAUCAAUGGCGGUUACGAAGGCGCGGCCCCAUUUCAGCUUUUGCGUCCUGUGGUUGAAUCUUCGCACCGCGAUGAUCGAGGCAAAAGUGGGGAGGGUUACAGGCGAUCGCACAAAAGGUGAUGGUCAUUCUGAUGUAUCUUUUCCUUUUCCAAGUUGUUGAUUGUAGGUUCUUGGAGUAGAAUAUCAUCGGUUUCUUCGAUCUUUGGCAGCUUGAUUCUUGUUCCAUGGUUUUCGAGAAGCACUUCCAAUCCUGUGAUAAUUUUCUUUGCUUCUUGUUGGUUUCCGAUUCUUGAAUCCAACGACAGACGAUUCUGUCGAUCUUUUGGCGGAUGCUUGAAUCCAGAUGCCAUUGUUUUCGUCGAUCUUUUGGCGGCGUUAUUCUUGUUCUAUGGGUGUGUUUCUUGUUUCAUGAUUGUUCGUUCAGGAGGGGACUUUGAUCCUGUUAUGAAUUUUCCGUUUGUUGUUGGUUGCGGAUUCUUGAAGCCAUUUGGCGGCGUGAAACUUGUUCUAUGUGCGUGUUUCUUGUUUCGUGAAUUUUCAGAAGGGGGUUCUGAUCCUGUUUUGAAUUUUCCGUUUGUUGUUGGUUGCGGAUUCUUGAAGUCACUAGACAUUUUCUUCAACGAUCUUUUUGGCUGCGUGAUUAUUGUUCUGUGGUUUUCCAAGAAGGAAUUCAGGUUCUGUCAUAAAAGUAUUUUUGUGCCGUCAGAGCGAGCGAGUUUAAACAGACGCGGUUCCGUCGACUAACAUCUUCCUUUUGGCGUUCUAGUUCUCAGAUGUUGAGAGUUUGCAUCGUGAAUUCUUGUUUUUGUUGUGUUCUGUAGGAAAUAGAAAUCCAUGGUAGCCUUUCCCUCCCUCCUUUCCGAUUCUUGAUUGCCGGAUCACGAUUAGGCUACAACCAACCGUAAGUUCGCCUUUUAUUUUUUGCCCACCAUCAAAGCGUCGUGCAAAUCGUGAUGGCAUGCAACAGCGAACACUAGUAAAUGCAAACGCACGUCCGUACAAUUCUCUAAUGGGAGAACACGAAUUUAAUGCAUUGUUUGCAAGGUUUGGGGAGCUACCGUGGUCAUUUCACCCUCCUAGUGAACACGUUGGACAGGCUGUCUUCCUCCGCAAGGUUGGAUGCGUUUGUAUAGGUGCUAACGGGGCUUCACUGUUUUGGAUGAAAUUUCGAGUUGUAGGUUCGACCUACCAUGUGGUCUUAGGAAUUCUAUCGACUUUAAUGCCCCUAAUAACUGACUCUUGUGCAUGUGAACAUGUCACUGGCAGUGGUACAAGGAGUUUGUCUACCAUGAACUCUUUUUUGAUCCAGCUAUGUAGAUCUUUUGCUGCGACCGAGCAAACUCUUCAACCUUUUUCUUUGAGAAAAAGGCUGUAAUUCACUUAUUCUGUUUGUGAAGUUGAUGAAUAUGUCUUGCUUUGUUAUAAAUAAGCUAUAGGCUGCUGAAACUAAUCUCGGUUGAUCAACUUUACUGACACUGUUUAGUUUAUACGAGUCAUUUCAGAUGCAUCAUUUAAGAAAGUUCAAAGUCAUUUAGGAUCAUUGUAUUACUUCUUGCGUCUAUUGCCAUUGGUUUAUAUCAGUUGAACAGGUAUUUGCCUCGUUUUCAUUCUCCAUGCACGCCAUGUAUGUAGGUCGCUGUAUCAGUAUGAUAGAGCUAGAGGCUUUCUCAAGAUCUAUAUUUUUUAGAAAUAUGUCAUAACAGCAGUUUGUCAUCACAAUCUGUGUGUGGAUAGUAACCAGGAUCAAAUGAUCCCGUUAAAAAUCCUGGACAUAUAUGUCACUGGCUUGACUUAAGGAAUUGAUUUCAAUUGGCCAACUUAAGAAGCAUAUUUCAAGUGGAGGAAAAAGUGUGAUAAGUUGCCUUUUUAUAUGUUUGAUGUAGCUUAGCUCACCUUUGAUCUCCUAUUCUUUCUGGGUUUAGAUUGUUAUUGCCUAGUGCACUGAGCUUUUUGCUUCUUUUUUUUUUUGUUCAUUUUCAAGUACUUUUGCAAUUUGUCUUUAUAUUUCUGAUUCCGUACACACAGAACUGCUGCUCCUGCCAUUUCCGGCAUGUUUUUAUUUAAAUUAACUUUAUUGGCAUGAAUUACGGAUUUAGGAGAUAUAUGCAAGGGGUAUGCCCUCCCUAUCUUUCUUUCUGGCAUUACUUUUGUCCAAUAUAAGCAUCUCCACAUACGGCUGUCAUGAUAUGCAUUUACUGUUUCUAUUUAUAUUCUUAGCUUUUAUAUAAUUUUCCUUGAGAUGAAUCUGUAUAGACAGUUUCAACAGUGAUUCAGUGUCGGAACCAGGCGAUGAGUUUUAUGUGUGCCCAACAUUCAUAGUUAAACCAUGUGCUGUCAUAAGCCUCUUUAUUCUGGUUUUGAGAAUUGUGGUGAUUUUUCAUGAGAGUAGGUAGUUAAGAGGAAAGAAAAGCCAAAUUGUCGUUGAAUCUUAUGGGCCUUAUGAGGUAGGUGUUUAAUUAUUCUUACUGCUAUCACUAUCAAUGUCACUAUUUUUUUAUAUAUUAUGUGUUGUUGUCAUAGUAUUAUUAUCAUUGUUGAUGUAUAUACAUAUGUAUAUAUAUAUACACAUAUAUAUAAAUACACAUACACACAUAUAUAUAUAUAUAUAUAUAUAUAUUGCACGUUUAUUAUUAUUUUUGCUUGCUGGAGGAUUUGAGACUAUAUGCUUGUUUGCUCCUCGUUUCUGCAAAACGUCAGGCCUUAACUGUCUCUGACGUAAUUUGGUGUGAGAACCAGUAGUUUUGUUUUUAUUGCUUAUUUUUUCAGGUUUCUGCAAGCAUGCAUGGGAUAGCAACAUUUGGGGAUACUGUCUGUGGUAUUAAUUUAUAAUGGUUUUCAGUGCUAGUCGAUAUGUAGAAAUGUAAAAAAAACUAGUUUUGUUGCCUUCUUUCCAACUAGUUCUGUCCUCUUUAACUCGGCAGCGCAUAAAAAAUGUAAUUAGAUGAAGCCAGCCCAGGACAGAUUUCAUUUUAUCAUAGGACAGACAUUAAAAAGAUGAGAUGAUGCUAUCCCAAGUGAUGCCAAAUUGGAGGCAACGGCAGGACAACGAUGAGAUUAGAAUGCUAAUUCCGAAGAUGUGUGUCGGCGCUCUAUUGCUGCGAAUUUUUGCAUUGAAAUUCAUUCGAAGAGAAAAACGUACGGAGAAAAGCAAAGGAAAGUAUAUGCAACUAAAGAUUGCUAAGAAGCUUCCAGGGCAAGCCUAAGAAUGAUUUGCGGUGCAAGUGUAGGACGCAAUUAAAGUAGUUGGCCCCAACAAUUUCAGCUGGAUUUGCAACGAUCAUAAGAAAAAAACACCAAAAUGUGUCAGCAUGCCAAGAAAAUUGACCGAGGUAGGCCAAGAAAAUAUGUUUGUACGCAAGCGUUAUAAACAUUUUAAAUACAAACAUUGUGAUUCUACUCCA